CCGGGGGGGCAGACUACACAUGCAGUCGAGCGAGAACUUCGGUUCUAGCGGCGGACGGGUUAGUAACGCGUGGGAACGUGCCCUUCACUACGGAAUAGUCCCGGGAAACUGGGUUUAAUACCGUAUACGCCCUUCGGGGGAAAGAAUUUCGGUGAAGGAUCGGCCCGCGUUAGAUUAGAUAGUUGGUGGGGUAACGGCCUACCAAGUCUACGAUCUAUAGCUGGUUUUAGAGGAUGAUCAGCAACACUGGGACUGAGACACGGCCCAGACUCCUACGGGAGGCAGCAGUGGGGAAUCUUAGACAAUGGGCGCAAGCCUGAUCUAGCCAUGCCGCGUGAGUGAUGAAGGCCUUAGGGUCGUAAAGCUCUUUCGCCAGGGAUGAUAAUGACAGUACCUGGUAAAGAAACCCCGGCUAACUCCGUGCCAGCAGCCGCGGUAAUACGGAGGGGGUUAGCGUUGUUCGGAAUUACUGGGCGUAAAGCGCGCGUAGGCGGAUUGGAAAGUUGGGGGUGAAAUCCCAGGGCUCAACCCUGGAACUGCCUCCAAAACUAUCAGUCUAGAGUUCGAGAGAGGUGAGUGGAACUCCGAGUGUAGAGGUGAAAUUCGUAGAUAUUCGGAAGAACACCAGUGGCGAAGGCGGCUCACUGGCUCGAUACUGACGCUGAGGUGCGAAAGUGUGGGGAGCAAACAGGAUUAGAUACCCUGGUAGU
rnacentral:rRNA from 1 species